ACACGUAGGGGGCAAGCGUUGUUCGGAAUUACUGGGCGUAAAGGGCAUGUAGGCGGUUUUUGUAAGCCUGACGUGAAAGGCUAUGGCUUAACCAUGGCACUGCGUUGGGAACUGCGAGACUUGAAUCACGGAGGGGGAGCUGGAAUUCCAGGUGUAGGGGUGAAAUCUGUAGAUAUCUGGAAGAACACCAGUGGCGAAGGCGAGCUCCUGGCCGAUGAUUGACGCUGAGGUGCGAAAGUGUGGGGAUC
rnacentral:rRNA from 1 species